rnacentral:rRNA from 1 species
GAUGAACGCUGGCGGCGUGCCUAAUACAUGCAAGUCGAGCGAACAGACGAGGAGCUUGCUCCUCUGACGUUAGCGGCGGACGGGUGAGUAACACGUGGAUAACCUACCUAUAAGACUGGGAUAACUUCGGGAAACCGGAGCUAAUACCGGAUAACAUGUUGAACCGCAUGGUUCAACAGUGAAAGACGGUCUUGCUGUCACUUAUAGAUGGAUCCGCGCCGCAUUAGCUAGUUGGUAAGGUAACGGCUUACCAAGGCAACGAUGCGUAGCCGACCUGAGAGGGUGAUCGGCCACACUGGAACUGAGACACGGUCCAGACUCCUACGGGAGGCAGCAGUAGGGAAUCUUCCGCAAUGGGCGAAAGCCUGACGGAGCAACGCCGCGUGAGUGAAGAAGGUCUUCGGAUCGGAAAACUCUGUUAUUAGGGAAGAACAAAUGUGUAAGUAACUAUGCACGUCUUGACGGUACCUAAUCAGAAAGCCACGGCUAACUACGUG